CUAACCAGGAUUCCCCUAGUAACGGCGAGUGAAGAGGGAAUAGCCCAGCACCGAAGCCUGCGGCAGUUUUGCUGUUAGGCAAUGUGGUGUUUGGGUCGGCUCGUGGGAUUGCCACUCCAUUCGAAGUCCAGCAUUGAGUAUGGUUCCCUGGAAUUGGCCCAGAGAGGGUGAAAGGCCCGUACGAAUGGAGGUUCAGACAAGUGAGGCAGUUCACCAGGCCGGCCUUCGAGUCGGGUUGUUUGAGAAUGCAGCCCAAAGUGGGUGGUAAACUCCAUCCAAGGCUAAAUACAAGCACGAAUCCGAUAGCGAACAAGUACCGUGAGGGAAAGUUGAAAAGUACUUUGAAAAGAGAGUAAACAGUACGUGAAACCGCAUAGAGGUAAACGGGUGGCGUCAAGCUGUUAGCCCGAAGGAUUCAGCCGGCAAGUGUGUAGUGUAUGCGCCUGGCGCAUCUCUCAGUCGGAGUAAGCCCUAGCAGUCCACUGGUAAACGGUGGGUCUGGCCUCACGGUCAGGAUGUGUGUACCGGGUGGAAGCCGGAGCACGCUGCUGGUCUAUGGACUGGACUUGUCGGUGCACUUCCUUCGUGGUGAACACCACGACCGAUGGUAUUGCCAGUCUGCUUUAGCCAAGUUGUUAGUGACCAGCUCUCGGGUUGGCUGCUAGCAAUCACAGGCGAUGCCGGUGACCGGCGUAGGUUCGCUUCGGUGGGCUUACGUGUUAUCGUUCUCCGCUCGUCAACGGGUCAGUGUUGGGCGGUUGACUCUGCUCAGUUGCUGGCCUGGUGGGCUAUGGUGGUAUGAAUAACUGUGCAAGGCAUCGGAGUUUUCGGUCUCAAUUGCGGGCUGCGUCCAGGGUCAACUGGUUUAAAUGCAGCUGCGUCUCAGCCUGCCUAUUCUUGGGUCUGAUUGUCGUGUCGCCUGCGCAAAGUGGGUCCGGCAGUGGCUCGAGGUGGGAUGGAGUUGACGGCGUGGUUGUGUGCGUGGUUCGUGGUGGACCUGAUAGUCUGUGGUGUAGUGGUAGACGAGCUACCCGACCCGUCUUGAAACACGGACCAAGGAGUUUAACAUGUAUGCAAGUCAAGGGGUCAUUUACGAAACCCAAAGGCGCAGUGAAAGUGAAGCUUCGACUCGUCUCGGAGUGAGGUGAGAUCCUGUCGUUACUCGCACAUGUCAGUACUAGGCAUAGAGCGGCAGGCGCAUCACCGGCCCGUCCCAUGAUGUGGUUAGCGGAUUUCUGCAGUAGCUCUCACG
rnacentral:rRNA from 1 species